UACGGAGGGUGCAAGCGUUAUUCGGAUUUAUUGGGCGUAAAGGGCGCGUAGGCGGUCUCUAAAGUCAGAUGUGAAAGCCCGAGGCUUAACCUUGGAAGUGCAUUUGAAACUUAGGGACUUGAGUAUGGGAGAGGGAAGUGGAAUUCCUGGUGUAGCGGUGAAAUGCGUAGAUAUCAGGAGGAACACCAGUGGCGAAGGCGACUUCCUGGACCAAUACUGACGCUGAGGCGCGAAGGCGUGAGUAGCAAACAGG
rnacentral:rRNA from 1 species